GAUGAACGCUGGCGGCAGGCCUAACACAUGCAAGUCGAACGGUAACAGGAAACAGCUUGCUGUUUCGCUGACGAGUGGCGGACGGGUGAGUAAUGUCUGGGAAACUGCCUGAUGGAGGGGGAUAACUACUGGAAACGGUAGCUAAUACCGCAUAACGUCGCAAGACCAAAGAGGGGGACCUUCGGGCCUCUUGCCAUCGGAUGUGCCCAGAUGGGAUUAGCUAGUAGGUGGGGUAACGGCUCACCUAGGCGACGAUCCCUAGCUGGGCUGAGAGGAUGACCAGCCACACAGGAACUGAGACACGGUCCAGACUCCUACGGGAGGCAGCAGUGGGGAAUAUUGCACAAUGGGCGCAAGCCUGAUGCAGCCAUGUCGCGUGUAUGAAGAAGGCCUUCGGGUUGUAAAGAACUUUCAGCGGGGAGGAAGGGAGUAAAGUUAAUACCUUUACUCAUUGACGUUACCCGCAGAAGAAGCACCGGCUAACUCCGUGCCAGCAGCCGCCGUAA
rnacentral:rRNA from 1 species